AGAGAAAUAGCUCAGUGGUAGAGGGCAUGCUAAGCAUGCAUGAGGUCCUGGGUUCAAGCCCUGGUACCUCCA
rnacentral:tRNA from 1 species